UCUGACUACUGGUCCUCGGAUGCAAUUUCCUUGCCUUUAUCGGAGGACUCACCACCUUGACAUAGUACAUAAUGAAGAAACUUCCUACAUUGGUACUAAAUCAAAAUUAAACUAAUUUAGACUACUAAUGCAUGAUAUGGAAUGCAAAAUGCACGGGUAACCAUCUAAACCCGGUAUUGGGCUAAUUCGUCUUUUCACCCGAUUAAUUGGCCAACGCGUCUAAUUUAGCUUCAAAGUGCUCGAUUUCUUUUCCAAUACCUUAAUUCACCAAACAUAAGUCAAAUAACCUAAAAUUUGGCAAAAGCAUCUUCACUUUUCUUAGAAUUUUUGGUCAAUAAUGGUGCAUUAACACCGUGAUUUCUCCUACUACUUUUUCACACCAUAAUUCAUCAUUUUCUAACCAAUUCUCUUAAAAUAAAAAAAAUCAAUUUCAUCCUCACUCAAUGCAAGGUAGGUUCGACCAUUGAUGGGUGAUGGGGAAAAUGAAUUCUUUUCUUGUUGUUUUACUUCUAGACAUAGUAAACUAACUAAAAACACUAACAUAACUUGAAAUCAAAUCGAUCCAACAUCAUUAUCUCUCCAUACCCAUUCGGCUAGCCAUGAAUUCACCAUAAAAACAUGAAAUUGAACCAUGAAAAAUAAGGAGAAAUGCUUAAGGAAAAUAGAUUUCAAGUUGAAAUUGAGAAAUCCUACCUUUUUCACUUGUUUUCCUUGAUUUUUCUCACUUUUUUUCUUGAAAUUCUCCACCUAGGGUUUGUUAUUUCUUUGUUUCCCUCUUUUCCUUGCUUGGCCGAAUAUUUGGAGAGAAGUAAGAGGUUUAUAGGCUGAUUUUUAAAGGAAAUAAUAAAAUAUUAUAAGCUUGACAAGUGUCAUUUUAUUAUUGGUCCAUUUUUAAAACUUUAAAAAUUUAAACUUUUUAUCUCCACCAUAUAUAUUUUCUCACCUAUCCAUAACAUAAAAAGUCAAUGGAUUAAUUCUAUGAGCAUGACAAGUGUUGGUGGUGUAAAAUUACAAUUUUGCCAUUGGGGUGGCAAAAUUACCAUUUUACCCUUAUGCUCUGAAAAAUACCAGAAUUACAAUUUUUCACUUCUCAACCUCAAAUCAUACUCCAAUAAGUCAAAUGUGAUCAAAAUCUUUCAAAAAUCUUCCAUUUUGUCCUCGAUUGGCAAAAUUACCAUUUUGCCCCUAGAUAGUGGAAUUUUCGAUUUGACUCCAAAUUGAUCCUCGAACCCCAAAUCACCAUUUUAAAUCAUUCCUGGACUGUAAAAAUUUCAAUUUCACCUUAAAAUCUCUAUUUGAUCUAGUUCGAGGCUUAAAUCAAUUUUGUUGUACCUUUAGGUACAAUAUCGAUUUUUGUAAAUUUUUCAAGAGUCUCUUAGCAUGCAAACAUGCUAUCCAUCACACAUAUGUCAUGACAAGUAUUUUAUAAGGUCGGGCUUUAUAGCACUACCCCCCUUACAAUAAAAUUUUGACCUCAAAACUUCACUUACCGGAUUCCAAGAAAAGAUGUGGAUAUUGGUCUCUCAUCUGGUGCUCAACUUCCUACGUCAUCUCUUCCAUUCGAGCAUUUUGUGGCAUCCCCCUCGAGGGCCCACUCCAAUGUAUUGUUGUAUUCGGGUCCCCAUCACUUGACUUACUCGUAUUCACCACGCUUAACGAUGGCACCACAGGACUUGCAAGACCUUCUCACCAAGCUUCGAACUCAAGACCUUUUGCUACCUUCGAAGGGAACACCUUUAACCAUUGGGAUGUUUUUAUUCCUCAACACUCGAUCCUUUCGAUCUAAAAUACGUACGGGUUGCAUCUAAGUCAAAUCAUCCUUAAAUCAUCAAUCAUGCAUGUUUACUUAACUAUCCACAAUUUCUCUACCUUGACCUUUUAUCAAACCUUCCAACAUUCAAGCAUUUCAUAAUACAUAAGGAUCAAACACCUUUUAUUUAUCCAUAUAUAUAUAUUUAACAUCACAGAUAAUUAAAAUUUGAUAACCAUUAGUAACCAUAUUCUCAAAAAGAAACUCUCAUAUUUUAUGAUCAAGUACUUAUUAAGUAGAUCUCGACUAUUACCACAAUACGUUUAAAUAAAUAAAGAUACUUUUGGAUGUAUCCUUAUGGACUUAAUCAAUCCUUAAAAUUCCUAGGUCAUAACCAACUGGUUAGUUAUACGUCACAUACAAACAUAUUCAACUUGUGAUUCCUCAAAUUUACAUCCAAACACUAGAUCUCAUGGCCUCAUUAGUUUAUCAAUUUGGAAAUGAAAAUAAACAUUUAUCUCCCCUCACGUACACUUUAAAAUCAAAGUAUCAUUUAUUAAGAUUUUUCUGAUAUCAACUUCCUUCAAUCCCUUUUUCCUUAGAAGAUUAAAUCCAUAAUCAAUCAUUUUGAGUCAUGGGCUUAUGCCAAUCAAGGCGGAUUUUCACACCUUUGAUUACAUGAAUUCGAUUGCACAUAUUCACCUAUAAGCUAUAAACCUUUCCCCAAAUCUUUAUAUACCAAAGCUGAUAUAUUAUUUAUAUUAUUUCCAAUCAUAUGCUUGAGUUUCAUCAUGCUAUAUUCUCACAUCACAAUGUCAUUAAUCAUAUCUCACUUGCUAAAUGUCACUUAAAAACUUAGACUGAUUCGAAUCAUGCAUGCCUUAAGCAUUUUCAAAUUCCAAUUUCCAUACUAUUUUAGGAAAUUUUCAUUAUCAAGCUUCAUUAUCCAAAUUAUCUUCAUUCAUCCUUUGUUCUGUUCUUCCAUACUAAUGUGAUAUCAUUCUCCCUAGACCAAUCUGCAGUGUGUACUUAAAACUGUAAGACUUGAAAUAUGGUUCUUCUAAGUACUUUUCAAUGUCAAUACGAAUUUCACUUCCAACUUACGGCUUCCACUUUACAGCCACAUAACUUAAUGCUAGCUUCCAUAAAAUCCGUAGCAAAACUCUUCUUGAGUAUUUCCUUGGGAAUAUCUAUCUUAGACUUAUGUCUCACAGUAUAUGAUCACUUAACUUGUGACUUAGCCGUUAGGCUCCUCAACAAGUUUUACAAAUCUCACAUUUCGUACUUACCGUGUAUGAUUAGAAAUUGUUUUCUCAAAGAUGUUUAUGCAUUUGUAAAACACUUAAUCUUAAAGGUAUAUAAAUACGUACUCAUCCAUUCAAUCCCUAACUCAUCUUCAUAGGUUUCUAGGGUGCCACACAAUUGGCCUCAUGUUGUUACUAACCCUUGUCGUUUAACUGAAUCAAGACAAAAAUUGUAAAUUCUCGUAUUGAUAAUCUAUAUAAACUGGUUCUCUAUACUAGUCUUGUAAUUCUUCAUUCACACUUUCAUCACUUGGUAUCUUAUCUCAAGGUAGCCAUCUUAAGAAUUUUUCAAUUUUUAUUUUAAUUAUAUGCUCAUAGAGGAGGAGAUAAAGAAGCUUUCAAUUUAUUCAGGUAAACAUUCUCCAAAAUUUUUAAAACUCCCAAAUAAUAAAGUUUAAUGACCAAUAGCCAAAAUUCAAUUUGUAAGCUCAUUAUUGUGCCACUCCCAUCAUACUCGUGUAUCAUAGGCGUGAGGUAUUCAGAGCAUUGCAGCACUGGACAGUUAGUGUUGUGACGUUGUAACUAUUAGAAAUUUCCUCAUCAAAGCUAUUUGUCUGCAUUCAAAGUCACCACAUCAAUCAUUCUCAACUAGUGGGUUUCCCUUCUAGACAUAUAUCAUGAGUACCAUAAGCAUAGGUACCUUCUAUUUUCUUGUCAUACACACUAAGCCAAGUCGAUACUUUCAACUCAUGUCAUCUUUUGACUUUCAUCAUCAUUCAUAAAAUCCCACCUUAAAACAUCCUUUCCAUACGGUGUAAUGAAUUCAUGAUACAUAUACCACCUCACUUUAUUCUCGCAAUCCUUAUUAAAUCAAAAUUUCAUAUUCCCCAUAUUCAAUAAUUUAACUUCAUUGGGCUAUAUUUGUGCCCAAUUAUUAUCUCAUAAUGUCAUGGCAUCACUGAGUAAUCCCUUUCAUGCUUAAAUUACAAUCAUCAACUUAAUCACGUUAUCCAUUCUGAAUGUCAUUUACAACCUUAUUGCUUCUUCCUAUACCCUUCCUCAAUAAUUAUAUUACCAAUUUAUCUUUGUCAUACAAAAAAAAAAUUGCCUUACACAUCUAGUCAUUUAAACAGCUACUUUAUAAUCCAUUAUAGUCAUACACUUUAAAAGCCAAACUAUUAACUUCUUUGCACAGAUAACUAUUAUCUCCUUUACACUACAUCUACCUAGAGUUAAAGUAGUACAAAAUCCUACGAAAAUAUUACAUGUCAUUGGGAUCAUCAUCUUAAUCUGAUCUUAUCGGAAGAUUUUACUCCAAGUCCUUCUUAAGAUCCUUUUCCGGGUUCUCCUCUUCCUGUGAUUUUCUCCUUUGCUUCUCAAUCCAAGGUUGUUGUAUUCUCCUACAUUCCUCAUAACUCACCGGUGCAGCAUUUCUUCCACAACCGGGAGGAAAAUGUCGUACAACGUUCACCUUCAUAAGGGGAUAAUUUGUAAUAGUUACUUUCUCCUUAUUCUUUUCUUGUUGUUCAUUCACAUUCAUCCCAUAGCCUAGAGGAUAGUGUCGAACAACUGACACGCUCUUCCUAGAACGAAUAUAUCCCCUUUCAAUUUCCUCCCUCGUCCAUUCUCUAUGGUACUCUUUAGGUUGUUUCAAAAGAAAAUUUCUUACAGUUUUUGGAGUAUCGGAGCUAUCCUCACUUUCAAGACUCUCGGUACUUUCAAAGCUUUCUUUAUUACGAAACCAUUCUGCUAAGUUCGGAGGAAUUCUAUUAGUAGGAAUUCGGGAUGGACCCCUUUCAGAAUUAUUUGGAUUAGGGCGCCAUUGGCUUCUAGCAGUGGAAACUAAUGAUCCCUCACUAGCACUAUGAUGAGGGGUACCGGGACUACUGCCUCUUCUAGACAUGGUGUGUAUGUCACCAGUGCACCUCAAAACCUAUACGCAACCAAGUAAUAAUUACUUAAUCAUUCAUGCAUCACAAGAGUAGGUAGGUUUCUAUAUGUAGAUGCAUGCAUUCUAUUCAAUCUAACCUAACUUAACUUAGGGCCACACCAACACUGUAAAUUUUUAAAACAAAUUUAAAACAAAAGCUCUGAUAUUUAAAACCAAAUGCUCUGAUACCAAUCGAAUUGUCACUACCUAGUACUCCCCUCGAGCUUGUGACAACCGUCGUGAUGUCCCGAUAGAUACUCAUUACCCGAAAUGCCAACCGGAACCCCGCAAGGCUUUAAUAUCAUUUUCUCAUUUUCCCAGUGAGUAACCGUUGCCAAAUAUCACGUUCUAAAAGAUUUUAAACUAUUUCCAACUUAAAACAAUAAAAAAAUAAUUUUUGUCUCACCGGGGUAUUUUAGUCAUUUUUCUCUGAAAAUUUUGAAACCAACUAAUAAUGUAGUAUACGGAUGCAAAACACAUAUUUCGUAAUCAAAAAUAAAUUUGGAUGUCUAAAACAUUUGUUUAAAAUGAAAUUAUGACUAUUAGAAUAAAAUAAAAAUAUUAAAUAAAAUAUUCAAUUUUCUCAUAAAACAAUAUUUUUAGAACAUUGCGUAAAUAUUUUUUUACAGCGUAAAAGCAAAAUAAAUUCAUAUAUACUGUAAUACAGUAAACAAAAGUAUUUAAUUUAAUUUACAGUAACAAGUGAGCCCUCAAAUAACCAAAAGUAUGAAAGACUGUGAACCUACAAUUUGGAAGAUGCAAAUCUAAUGCUAGUCCUCGACGAAAUGUGGUAUCUAUGGACUAUCCUGAACCUGAAAUGGGUGGAAGUGAGGGUGGUGAGAUUAUAUAAUCUCAGUGAGUAAACAAAUAUCAUCUAAAAUAUCUAAAGCUGAGUAAAUGGAGACAGAUAAAAUAGAUUAGCAUAAAAUAAUUCAUAGCAUUUCAAACUCAUUUUUAUGAGAUAAAAUAAAUUUAUUUCAUCCAAAUAAUCAUUGAGGCUUAUGAUUUUUUGAAAAGCUUGGCUCGUGCAAAAAAAAUCAUUACCAUACUCAGUUAUCAGGAAUACCUUGACUGAGGGCUAUCCCAACUAAGUCCGCCAAGCCUGUAAAAAAAAUUAUAUACACAUAAAUCAUGUUUUUAUUUUGAAAACAUAGCCGUUUCUUGGCAUUGGCCGAGUUCACCAUCACGUGGUGGUUUUGCAUGAAGUGAACUCUAAAGUGUUAACCUCAAGCGUUAUCCACCUACGCCUCUCUACUGAGGUAAGAUAUAAUGGGGUUUACCUUGCCCUUCUAACAGGCUGGUCCACGAAAACCCGCCCAUUGCAAUAAGCUAAUUGAUAUCCACCAAAUCAAUAAAAUUCCAACAGCAUGACGUGGUAAUUAUUUUACAACACAGCAUGUCAAGGCAAAACAACAGUUCAUACAUUUUCAGCACAUUUACCAAAUCCAGCCACUCAUGCCCACAUUAUCAUAAGCCAUUCAAUUCAAACCAUAAUUUACAACACAACACUUAGUCUCCAAUUACUCCAUUUUCCAAAACCAUCAUUCAAUUUCAAGACAAUUUUAUAAAAUCAUUUCAUUUAAUCACAUUUUGCUUUUAAAACAUAAAGAUUUACCAUUUAAACUCAUUUUCCAUAAAAUCACAAAAACGAAUAAAAACUACUUUAGAUAAUCAAGAUGAUGAUAAGAUUACUCACAAUGUCUAGAGUGCGGAUUUUCAAAGUACUCUAACUACUGGUCCUCGGAUGCAAUUUCUUACGUUUAUCGGAGGACUCACCACCUUGACAUAGUACAUAAUCGAGAAACUUAUUAUGUCACAACCCGGUACUCCCCUUGAGCCCGUGACAACUGUAGCGACGUCCCGGUAAACAUUCGUUACCCAAAGUGCCAACCGGAACCUCGUAAGGCUUUAGUACCAUUUUUUUUUCAUCUCCCCUGUGAGUAAUCAUCGCCAAACCUCGUUUUUAAAGAAUUUUAAGCUUUUUCCCUUUCAAAACUGUGAAAAAAUAAUUUUCGCCUCAUAGGGGUGUUUUCGUCAUUUUUCCUUAAAAUUUUUCGAACCUGACUAAAAAUGUAGUAGAUGAGUGGAAAACACAUAUUUCAUGAUUUAAAAUAAAUUUGGGUGUCUAAAACAUUUAUUAAAAAUGAUAUUGCAACUAUUUGAAUAAAAUAAAAAUAUUUAAUAAAAUAUUCUAAUUUCUUGUAAAACAAUAUUUAUAGUCAUCAGUAAAUAACUUUUGUAAUGUAAAAGCUAAAUAAAUUCAUACGUACUAUAAUACAGAUAACCGGGAUAUGAAAUUUACUUUACAGUGACUCGUGGGCCCACAAGGAACAAAAGUGCACAAAGGCAGUAAACCUACAGUUUUUGGAGUAGUAAAGCCGACUAUAAUGCUUGACGAUAUCUGUUAUCCACAAGCUACCUUGGGCCUGAAAUGGUUGAAAAUGAGGGUGGUGAGAUUAUAAAAUCCCAAUAAGUAAACAGAUACCAUCUAAACUAUCUAAAGUCGAGUAAAUGGAGACAGAUAAAACAAUUUAACAUAUUGAAAUUCAUCACCUUUCAACUUGUUUCAACCAAAUAAAAUCAAUUCAUAUAAAUCGAGUAAUUAACAUAGCUUAUGAAUUUCUUAAAACUUUGGCUCAUGCCAAAAUCAUUAUCAUACUCAGUCAUCAGGGAUACCUUGGCCGAGGGCUAUUCCAAACCGAAUCCGCCAAGGCUGUUAAAAAGUUAUGUACGUAUAAAUCAUGUUUUUAUUUUGAAAACAUAGCCGUUCCUUAGCGUUGGCCGAGUUCCCCUCACGUGGUGGUUGGGCGUGAAGUGAACUCUAAAGUUUGACCUCGGGAGUUACCCUACGCGCCUCUCCAAUCGACGUACAUAUAUAUGACCAGGUUCCGUGCCCCUCUAAUAGGUUGGUCCACAGAACCAGCCCACUGCAGCAAGCUAAACCCACCAUACAAUAAAAAUUCAACAGCAUGAUAUGGCAAUUUUAUCAUUAUCCAACCUAUCAAGGCAAAGAGCAGUUAUACAUUUCAACGCAAAUACUAAUUCAGCCAUUCAUGCCAAUAUUGUCAUAAGCCAAUCGAUUAGAACCAUAAAUUCACAAUACAUCAAAUGGUCUCUAAUUACUUUAUUUUCAAAGUCAUCUUUCAAUUUCAAGACCAUUUAUGAAAUCAUUUUAUUUAAACACAUUUUGUUUAUAAAACCUAAAAAUUUACCAUUUAAACUCUUUUUCCAUAAAAUCACAAAAUCAGAUAAAAACCAAUUCAAAUAAUUAAGAUGAUAGUAAGGUUACUCACAGUACUAGGAGUUUGAUAUACUCUUAUUUUCGAUCUUUGGGCACAAUCUCUUUACCUUUGUUAGAGGGCUCACCACUUAUACAUCAUACGUGACACGAAUUUCAAUAAAUUGUGUCAAUUUACCAUAAACUAUUUCAGGCUCUAUAAAUCUAUAUGAAUGCACGAAAUAUGAUGCAAAAUGUCCGAAUAGCCGUUUAAAU
rnacentral:lncRNA from 1 species